CACCGACUUGAACAAAUCCCCCUAUUCUUUCCUCAAGCCGAUUUAAAAUGAACAUAAUGCUGCUUUACCUUAUCUUCUGUCAUUUUAUCGGUUGAGAGUCCUCCUCUUACUUCCAAGUCCUGUGGUGAGUGUGGCACAUGCAGCUGGCCAGCGCCUGCCUUCCUCCAGCUUUCUACUAGUUAUACAUUAGAGGGGGAGGAGCAAGCAAGGACGCAGCCUGGCCAUUUCCUUUAAAGUCCAAAUCUAAUCCUACAAAAGGCUGAAUACUGAGGAUAAUCUAAUAAAUAAAUGCUUCGCCUUAGUGACUUGUGGCUUCAGUGCUUGUGCACUAGCAAAAGAAAAUGGGAGCAGGUCCCUCGGGCGUAAGUCACAAACCAGAGAUGGUCACACUUUAACAGAUGUUAAGUACACCAGUAACCAGGGACAGGUCACCGAUGAAAGGAGCAGCGUCAGGGAGAAAUGGUUCUCGUGACAGCUGUUUACCCGCCACGGAGGAGUUCCAGGAAUGUACCGUCACAAGCAGAUGGUGCAAUUUGGCGGUGGGCAAGCUGUCGGUCCAGGCGGCCUGUGCUGAUCUGAAGGGGGAAAUCGCUCUGCUUUGCUACAGCGAGAGCACAGGCGCCCAUCUCUCUUACCCUGACCCAGCUGCCAGAUUCCAGCCAAGCCUUAUGGGGGGCUCCGUUGCCACACAACAAAGCCAUGGCCUUUAUUUUGCCGCUGACGGGAGAAGCGUGAAGAAGAUCACGAAAACGGCUUGGUGGACGGGAGGGAGUGCUGUCCUCGGAGUCUGGGGAUGA
rnacentral:lncRNA from 1 species